AUUGAACGCUGGCGGCAUGCUUUACACAUGCAAGUCGAACGGUAACAGGCCGCAAGGUGCUGACGAGUGGCGAACGGGUGAGUAAUGCAUCGGAACGUGCCCAGUCGUGGGGGAUAACGCAGCGAAAGCUGCGCUAAUACCGCAUACGAUCUAUGGAUGAAAGCGGGGGACCGUAAGGCGUCGCGCGAUUGGAGAGGCCGAGGGCAGAUUAGGUAGUUGGUGGGGUAAAGGCUCACCAAGCCGACGAUCUGUAGCUGGUCUGAGAGGACGACCGGCCACACUGGGACUGAGACACGGCCCAGACUCCUACGGGAGGCAGCAGUGGGGAAUUUUGGACAAUGGGCGCAAGCCUGAUCCAGCAAUGCCGCGUGCAGGAAGAAGGCCUUCGGGUUGUAAACUGCUUUUGUACGGAACGAAACGGCUCUGGUUAAUACCCGGGGCUAAUGACGGUACCGUAAGAAUAAGCACCGGCUAACUACGUGCCAGCAGCCGCGGUAACAC
rnacentral:rRNA from 1 species